GCGUCACGUGACGCGCACGAACCUGCAGGUGUCGCGAAAGGCCAAUCACGGCCAAUCAGUGUGAUUUUACAGUAAAAAUUAUCUGCAUAAAUAAAUAAUCGAUUAAUUGAAGUCCGUCGUCAGUCACCGUGUGCUUAAUGACAGACUCGACCGGCACUUUGUUUUACUCUGGCGGAGGCGGGUGGCGGUUUGCUGCAGCCGUUCUGAAGGAGCACGAGCAGGUGAACCGACAGGCUUUGGGCUGCAUGGCUGUUAAUGGACUGAAGUGACGGCUCCAGUCUUCCUGGCGUGAGGAUCAAUCUGGAAACCCAGGAGAGGCCCUCCCCGGGGAUCAGCGGUAACUAACUGUGGCAGUGGCAGCAGCCCGGCAGGAGAACAGGAAUGACCUUUGACACCUGGAUCUGUGAGCAGCCACCGUCUUCCUCCAAGCGGCGACCCCUCAGCUGCAGCCGAUCCUGCCACGAGCCGGGACGACAGAGCGAGGGGCUGAGGCCUUGCUACUACAGAGACAUUGUUGACGACGGCUUCUGCACAAAGUUAAAGCACAUUUAACUUGUGUUCUCUUACGGCCCCUCCGUCUGCUUUCUCCUGCCAAAGCAGCAACAAAGGACGUUAGCGGUGUUUGAGUUAACCACAGAGUAUCAUCAUCGUCUUUCCACCCGCCCCUCGUGCACCUGCCGCCCCUUCUUCUCCUGAGUCAGGACAAAGAGGGGACGGCGGGGGGUGUGAUGAGGCGGAGAGCGAGAGACCAGCUGAACAACAGGUACCAGGACAAUCUGCAGCCAUGUUUGUGUCGACAAAACCAGGAGAACGUUCAACAGGAUGGGAAAUGUGAUGGAUUAGGAGGCCGCGAUCGGAGCAAAACUAACAGCGGAGGUGGAGAUGUGGUGUUAACCUGACUAAUGCUGUGAUCAGGGCCAGCUGAUAGCACCGUGGCGUCUCUUCCUGACACCUAUGCAGCAGAUUCACAGAGCAGAGGGACUUGAUUUCUCUUGUGCAUCAUAUGUGAACACAGAAACACUCAGCAGUAACACGCAUGAUCUGUGUGUGUCACCCUUUCAUGAAGCCUGAUCCGCUGCGUUCACAACAAAGUGUAUUCUGCAGUGUUUGGUAGUUGGGUGUCAUGCCCUGUUUGCACGACGCGGACCACCCAGCUCAACUCGUACAGGCUGUUUUUCUCGAUUUCGAUCUCGGCCUUUAGCUGAUCGCGGUUCGAGUGGGGUUGAGGCCGUAGGUGGGGCAGCCUGGCGUUAAGUCAGAGAUCAUGUAGUUGUUAUGUCUCCCAUUUGAGUAAAACAGCAUAUUUAUGUACAAUUAUAGACAUAAAACUUUUCAUCUUCGUGGUAAGAGCUGAAUUUGCAGCACAUUUUGGAACACUUGCUUACUUUUUGCCAUUUCCAAACAAAAUUGGGGAGAAGAAACAGCUGAUUAUUCACAGUGCAGUAGAUUUAAGACGAGCACGUUGAAAAUGUGGCUGUGGCUGCUUUCGGUAACAUGCUUCCCACACUAUCCAUCAUUCAAUUUUCAUGGAAAUAAAUGCAAGUGCAAAUGGCUCUAAAUUCGAUGUUCUGCCAAUAAUGCAUCCUGGCAGAGUUACAAAAUCACCAUCCAGAGAGAGCAAGCCGAGCCCGUCGGCAGCAGAACUUUUAUCGGUACUCAGAUCCGUCGGAGGAGAGGAGUGUCUGCUCCUGAAGGGAAUCUCCUGGACAGGAAACAGACGUUACUUUCUCUUUGCUCUCCAAUCGCAGGGAGGUGAUGGCACAUAAAGUAUUCCCGUGAAGGAUGGCGGGAGAGGGGAAGCAGCCUGAGACGCAGCCAAGUUUCUAUUGAGUUAUGGACAUUUUCAGCAAAGAGCCUUCAAGAGGCAGCACUCCUCAAAGUGACUGAGCUCACACUUAGCACGGACAAUAUAAAUGGAAUUGUCGACGUUAGUAUUUCCUCAUUCAUUCUUCUUCCCUUCUACAUCUCCUAUCCUUUUCUUAUGCCUGGGAGGCGUGUGAACAAUGGCUGAAAAGCGCAUGUAGAGCAUCAGACGUCUGCUGUGCGGCGAGGGCCCAAAGUGUGAGGUAUAAAUGAAACUGUACGACGCUUAUUUAACCGUCUGUCAUGACUGCAGCGCUGGGAUCGCAAGAGCAUUUCAGUGACAAGCGUGACAUGAUGUAGCAGAUGAAUUAUUAAAGAAAGUCACAUCACAUCAGAGGACUGAAAAUAAUAACUGUUUGGCAGUUUGUACCCAAACUUCGUCCUAUCCUGUUCGAAGCGGACGGAUCCAGUGUGAUCGACAACGUUCGGAGAUAAACGGGAUGCUGAAGUGGCCGACUGCUGCAUCGCUGAUGGUGCUGUAACCGUGGCUAAUUGUAUGUCUAAACCCUCUUUGGGAUGAGCGACGCGUCGGGAAUAGAGGCGGCUGCGGGUUUGACAGUGAUGGUUCAUGGGAUGACAAACAAACGCCACAGAGGAUCAAUGUGAAGAGGUCCAUCUUCAAAACACCAGAGAGACGGAAAACGACAAAACUGAUCUUCCAUGACAAGUGCCCAUGUCUUCUCAGAGAAUUCAGCAGGGGUGCUUCUGUGUUUAGGGGAUAUUGUUUGCACUUCAUGGGGAUGAUAUAAAGAGAUUUUGCUCUAAAAUGAAGCACAACUAUUUUUUUUUAUAAAAGGGGCUCUGACUAACUUUUGACAGAACUUUAUCAAAGGAUAAAAGAUUAUAGUUUGUGUCCCCGGGUUCUAUGAUAACAUCCUCUCUAUACUUUAAAUGAAUACAAGCAGUGGAUUGAUAUGGUAAUUUGAAUUGCUGCUACUUCUGUGAAUGAGCAUAGAGGAAGUUAGAACAGACAUUACACGAAGAGCUGCGGCACAAGGAGGAGCUACACACUCUUUAUAAACCUGAUUUCAAUGUAGACAUAAAAUGUGUAGAGAAGCCAUUCACAACCAGAACUCCUUUAACAUGUGCAAAUCUGCGCUGGCUCUGAGAAAACCAGCAGAUAGAACGUUUAAAAACAGAGGAAGAAAAGGACAAAAAAAAGGAUGCACUCAUGUAAAUGAAGGACAAGAAGUGUGAAUUCUUCUUUCCAGGAUGUCUGCGUUUUGCUUUGUCUCCAUAGUAUCCAUUUGUCAUCGAGGCGCAAGCAGCUCUCUUCCACAUCACAUUCAGGAAAAAAAACAUUUGGUGUCGCUCCAUUGUUAUCCGUAUGGAAACAGUGGGGUUUAAACUCUCUGUGCAGUGCCAGAAACAGAUAAGGAAAAGGAACGAAAGGUGUGGAAAAUCGUGAGAAAUGCGUUACACGUGGAGGAAGCGGAGAGACGGCGAUGACAAACAGGAGUCUCUCGGGAUAAUCAGAAGAGCUGGCAGGUUUGCUCAUCCUAAAGAUUAUUAACUGAGUAACUGCUCUGCUUUUAUUCUUUCCUCAAGAAAAUAACAACAUGCUGCAACAAUAUAUAGAUUAAAAUAUGACUGGUUAAUGAUCCCUUUUCUUCUUCUCUUUCGGAAAGGGUUUCAUUUCCGUGCAGAAUCAAAUAGGAAUAAUACUGGGACGUUCUGCAGGAGGUUGAGGUUGAUUAUUUGUGAAAUAAUGGGAACCGAGUAAAAAUGCGACACAACUUAAAACGUGCGCUGCACAUCACAUACUUCAAAGCAGUUGAGAUCAGUUUUCUCACUUUCUACAUGCAGUAUCAGUGAGGCCCAGACAAUCUGCACAAACCUGUUGGAUGUGUUUGGAAAUCUGACUUCAGUGUUUUCAGUUACAAUCACUUUAAACAAGGACUAAUCACUGGACAAAUGAGCGACUGUACCACCAUGUCCAAUUACUGGGAAAAAAUGGCUGCUUUGUGCCAUUCACUGAUUACAUCAAUAAGAUUCUCCUCGGUAGGGGCCAUCAUUACAUCAGUUCAAGCAGUAAUUUUGCUCAUUUAUAUGGAUUUUAUAAUGUAAUAUUCCCCGCAAAGUAAACAUUUAGAUGUGUGGGGCGAAAAAAACAACAAAUGCAUGCAUAUGAAAGUAAAGAAAAUAUGAAGUUUCUCACAGAACCAAAUUGGCAAUCACCAUCCUUCUACCCCAUGGUCAUAAUGAAAUUGCGUUAGCACUGGUUGAAAUAAAUGACAUAAUUCUAUGUACACACAAUUAAAGGAGAAAGCUACAAUCCCACAUUCAGCUCACAGUUAGUUUAUGAUAGCACCAAGCAAAACCAAACCUAUAAAUAAUGAAUACGUCCAUAAUUAUUCUCUCUCAGAUUUGCAUAAUUAUUGUUUUUUUUUUUCCUUCUUCUUCUUUUUCUUGGAAGCAUCUGUUAACAUUGCAAUCCUUCCUUUGUUUCAAAGAGGACCGCCAUACCUUCCUGCAAAAGCACACACAUGAAUGGGAAUAAAUUGCCAUUAUAAGGAAAAGCUCUUCAUUUAUAAUUGAUGGGGUGGUCACAGUGACACAGUGAUAUUGCUGCAAAUGCAGCACUAUUGCUCUGAAUGAGCUUUCCUGUUGCACUGCUAAUGCUCAGCAGCAGCGGAUACCAGACUUUGAAAGAUUUUAGUUCGU